GCCGCUCUUUUAGUGUUCACACUGGGGACCUCGGUGCGAAUCCUGGCCUGAUGGGACGGGCGCCGCCGCCUUCUCUUGCGCAGCCCGGGGAUCUCAGAACCCUCGCCUCCCUCUCAGCGCAGGCGCUCGUCCCGGUACCGCUGAAGUCUGCAGACUGAAGUCCCACAGAUGCUGGGCUCCCUUACACAGCAUCCACCUGCUCGCCUCUGCCGCUCCCUCCAUCUGAGUUUCCACCUACGGUCGUUGUCUUUCCAGGUCCCACUCUUUUUGUGGGAAUGUCCACUCCAGUCUAAACGUGGCCUCCUCCGAGGUGAUGCAUGUCCCUGACUGAGGCUAAGCCCCUGUCUUUGAUGUCACCGGUUUGCCUGUGACUGGUCAGGGGUGGGUUUUCCGUCUCUUCACCCUGCUUGGACUUCCCAGCACGCCAGCCUCAGGUUCCUCAGAAAGGGUGCGGGGGCCCAGCCCAGCCCAGCCCAGCCAUGCAAACCCUUUCUCGUGAGAGCCUCCCUUCGCUCCAGCCCACAGCCGAACCGGGAGUUCCGUGAUCACGCAGCUUAGACGCGGGGUCAGCGCCCCGCACCUCCAGCUCCACAUUCCAUGUCCGUGUCCUCGCAGGUCAGCGGAAGGCCUCUGCUCAGCUUAACUCAGCCCCCCCCCCGAGGGGCCGCUCCCCUCCUGGGAUGCACCCUGUGCCCCACCCAGCGCCACUUCCAACCACUGUGGAGAGAGCUUUGGGGUUUGAAGACAGGGGGCAGCAGGGAGGGGUGGUGCCAGGACCCACCCCCUCCUUUGUGACCUUUGUUCAAGGCAGGGACCUCAGCACCCCCCGGCCCCGGCGUGGUGGGGGGUUCCCUGGCGGGAAGCCGACACAGCUGCUUCUUGCCGGGAGGAGGGGGAGGUGAGCAGGGAGGGUGUCCGCACGGAGACAAGCGCACAUGUGUCGCAGGACAGGCCACGUUGCACGCUUCGAACUGGAAAAAGUCAAAAGGCAACGAGUGUGAAGAAAACGGCCUUCUUGCGUGUAUCAACAGCGUGCGACGUGCUCCUGCUCUUGAGGACAUAGUCUCUGUUAUCUAUUAGAACAAAAACAACAGAGACUUUUGCUCCAUCACUCACAGUCCAGAACCCGUCCUGCAGGAGCCGGAGUCUCGGUUCGCAAAGCCAGACGUUCAAGGGCGCGCACCGCGGCUCUGUUCACAGUGGCGAUGGGAUCAGAUGAGCACGAGAGACCACCCGAAGGUCCCCAUAAGGUCCCCUGAUGCUCUAGACCACACCACGCAGUGGUUAAGAAAGAACGAGUUAGGCCUCGACAGGUGUUUGCGGCGUUGGCCGAGCUCCGCGGGUUGGGGGUUUGCAGGCGGGAGCCUGGGGGCGAGGGACGCAGGGGGAGCCGCCACCAGACGGCAGAGGAUGAGCCUCUGUGCUCAGAGGCUUCGUGGACACCUCCACCCUUUGGAAAGAUUGCGAAAGGUGGCCUGCUGUCCCCGGAUCCAGCCUAAGGAGGUGACAGAAACCGGGGCCCCCAGGGACGCCCCAGAGGUGCUCACCACGCAUGACUCACCACAGGAACACUCCCCAGCCCCGAAGGCCCCCCUCAGGACCGCGUAAAGAAAUUACAUCACGGAGCGCUCCGGCUGCACAUGGAACCGAGGGAGGGUGGUUAGCCGGGGCUCUGCUAAAGCCACACCCCCGGAGAGGAACUGGCUCAACGGGCCGGAAAGAACUGCCAGCGAGAGCGCCGCAGCUGCGGGACAGGCAGGCCUGCGCGGAGUCGUGUUUCCUUUAUAGUUUUCCCCAAAUUUCUACAAUAAACAUCUUUGAUUUUUAAA
rnacentral:lncRNA from 9 species